rnacentral:rRNA from 1 species
AUACGGAGGGUGCAAGCGUUACUCGGAAUUACUGGGCGUAAAGCGCGCGUAGGCGGUUUAGUCAGUCAGAUGUGAAAGCCCCGGGCUCAACCUGGGAACUGCAUUUGAUACUGCUGAACUAGAGUAUGGUAGAGGGAAGUGGAAUUCCGGGUGUAGCGGUGAAAUGCGUAGAUAUCCGGAGGAACACCAGUGGCGAAGGCGACUUCCUGGACCAAUACUGACGCUGAGGUGCGAAAGCGUGGGUAGCGAACAGGAUAGAAACCCCGGUAGUCC